rnacentral:rRNA from 1 species
AGAGUUUGAUCAUGGCUCAGAAUCAACGCUGGCGGCGUGCCUAACACAUGCAAGUCGAACGAGAAAGUGGAGCAAUCCAUGAGUAAAGUGGCGACCGGGUGAGUAACACGUGACUAACCUACCUUCGAGUGGGGGAUAACCUCGGGAAACCGAGGCUAAUACCGCAUAACAUCGCAAGAUCAAAGCAGCAAUGCGCUGGAAGAGGGGGUCGCGGCUGAUUAGCUAGUUGGCGGGGUAACGGCCCACCAAGGCGAAGAUCGGUAGCCGGCCUGAGAGGGCGCACGGCCACACUGGAACUGAAACACGGUCCAGACUCCUACGGGAGGCAGCAGUGGGGAAUUUUGCGCAAUGGGGGAAACCCUGACGCAGCAACGCCGCGUGGAGGAUGAAGCCCCUUGGGGCGUAAACUCCUUUCGACCAAGACGAUAAUGACGGUACUGGUGGAAGAAGCACCGGCUAACUCUGUGCCAGCAGCCGCGGUAAUACAGAGGGUGCGAGCGUUGUUCGGAAUUAUUGGGCGUAAAGGGCGCGUAGGCGGUGCCACAAGUCACCUGUGAAAUCCCCGGGCUUAACUCGGGGCCUGCAGGCGAAACUGUGGUGCUGGAGUAUGGGAGAGGUGCGUGGAAUUCCCGGUGUAGCGGUGAAAUGCGUAGAUAUCGGGAGGAACACCUGUGGCGAAAGCGGCGCACUGGACCAUAACUGACGCUGAUGCGCGAAAGCUAGGGGAGCAAACAGGAUUAGAUACCCUGGUAGUCCUAGCCCUAAACGAUGAUUGCUUGGUGCAGCAGUACCCAAUCCUGCUGUGCCGCAGCUAACGCGAUAAGCAAUCCGCCUGGGGAGUACGGUCGCAAGGCUGAAACUCAAGGAAUUGACGGGGCCCGCACAGCGGUGGAGCAUGUGGUUCAAUUCGACGCAACGCGAGACCUUACCUGGGCUCGAAUGCAGUGGACCGGGGUGGAAACAUCCCUU